GACCUCGAAUCAGGUAGGACUACCCGCUGAACUUAAGCAUAUCAAUA
rnacentral:rRNA from 2 species